rnacentral:rRNA from 1 species
AUUGAACGCUGGCGGCAGGCUUAACACAUGCAAGUCGAGCGAGCGGCGGACGGGUGAGUAAUGUCUGGGAAACUGCCUGAUGGAGGGGGAUAACUACUGGAAACGGUAGCUAAUACCGCAUACCAUCAGAUGUGCCCAGAUGGGAUUAGCUAGUAGGGGGGGUAACGGCUCACCUAGGCGACGAUCCCUAGCUGGUCUGAGAGGCUGACCAGCCACACGGGAACUGAGACACGGGCCAGACUCCAACGCGAUGCAGCAGCGGGAAAUAUUGCACAGUGGGCGCAAGCCUGAUGCAGCCAUGCCAGGUGUGUGACGAAGGCCUUCGGGUUGUAAGGCACUUUCAGCGAGGAGGCGUUACCCGCAGAAGAAGCACCGGCUGACUCCGUGCCAGCAGCCGCGGUAAUAC